rnacentral:rRNA from 1 species
ACUAAGCGUACACGGUGGAUGCCCUGGCAGUCAGAGGCGAUGAAGGACGUGCUAAUCUGCGAUAAGCGUCGGUAAGGUGAUAUGAACCGUUAUAACCGGCGAUUUCCGAAUGGGGAAACCCAGUGUGUUUCGACACACUAUCAUUAACUGAAUCCAUAGGUUAAUGAGGCGAACCGGGGGAACUGAAACAUCUAAGUACCCCGAGGAAAAGAAAUCAACCGAGAUUCCCCCAGUAGCGGCGAGCGAACGGGGAGCAGCCCAGAGCCUGAAUCAGUGUGUGUGUUAGUGGAAGCGUCUGGAAAGGCGCGCGAUACAGGGUGACAGCCCCGUACACAAAAAUGCACAUGCUGUGAGCUCGAUGAGUAGGGCGGGACACGUGGUAUCCUGUCUGAAUAUGGGGGGACCAUCCUCCAAGGCUAAAUACUCCUGACUGACCGAUAGUGAACCAGUACCGUGAGGGAAAGGCGAAAAGAACCCCGGCGAGGGGAGUGAAAAAGAACCUGAAACCGUGUACGUACAAGCAGUGGGAGCACGCUUAGGCGUGUGACUGCGUACCUUUUGUAUAAUGGGUCAGCGACUUAUAUUCUGUAGCAAGGUUAACCGAAUAGGGGAGCCGAAGGGAAACCGAGUCUUAACUGGGCGUUAAGUUGCAGGGUAUAGACCCGAAACCCGGUGAUCUAGCCAUGGGCAGGUUGAAGGUUGGGUAACACUAACUGGAGGACCGAACCGACUAAUGUUGAAAAAUUAGCGGAUGACUUGUGGCUGGGGGUGAAAGGCCAAUCAAACCGGGAGAUAGCUGGUUCUCCCCGAAAGCUAUUUAGGUAGCGCCUCGUGAAUUCAUCUCCGGGGGUAGAGCACUGUUUCGGCAAGGGGGUCAUCCCGACUUACCAACCCGAUGCAAACUGCGAAUACCGGAGAAUGUUAUCACGGGAGACACACGGCGGGUGCUAACGUCCGUCGUGAAGAGGGAAACAACCCAGACCGCCAGCUAAGGUCCCAAAGUCAUGGUUAAGUGGGAAACGAUGUGGGAAGGCCCAGACAGCCAGGAUGUUGGCUUAGAAGCAGCCAUCAUUUAAAGAAAGCGUAAUAGCUCACUGGUCGAGUCGGCCUGCGCGGAAGAUGUAACGGGGCUAAACCAUGCACCGAAGCUGCGGCAGCGACGCUGAUGCGUUGUUGGGUAGGGGAGCGUUCUGUAAGCCUGCGAAGGUGUGCUGUGAGGCAUGCUGGAGGUAUCAGAAGUGCGAAUGCUGACAUAAGUAACGAUAAAGCGGGUGAAAAGCCCGCUCGCCGGAAGACCAAGGGUUCCUGUCCAACGUUAAUCGGGGCAGGGUGAGUCGACCCCUAAGGCGAGGCCGAAAGGCGUAGUCGAUGGGAAACAGGUUAAUAUUCCUGUACUUGGUGUUACUGCGAAGGGGGGACGGAGAAGGCUAUGUUGGCCGGGCGACGGUUGUCCCGGUUUAAGCGUGUAGGCUGGUUUUCCAGGCAAAUCCGGAAAAUCAAGGCUGAGGCGUGAUGACGAGGCACUACGGUGCUGAAGCAACAAAUGCCCUGCUUCCAGGAAAAGCCUCUAAGCAUCAGGUAACAUCAAAUCGUACCCCAAACCGACACAGGUGGUCAGGUAGAGAAUACCAAGGCGCUUGAGAGAACUCGGGUGAAGGAACUAGGCAAAAUGGUGCCGUAACUUCGGGAGAAGGCACGCUGAUAUGUAGGUGAAGUCCCUCGCGGAUGGAGCUGAAAUCAGUCGAAGAUACCAGCUGGCUGCAACUGUUUAUUAAAAACACAGCACUGUGCAAACACGAAAGUGGACGUAUAGGGUGUGAUGCCUGCCCGGUGCUGGAAGGUUAAUUGAUGGGGUAAUCGAAAGAGAAGCUCCUGAUCGAAGCCCCAGUAAACGGCGGCCGUAACUAUAACGGUCCUAAGGUAGCGAAAUUCCUUGUCGGGUAAGUUCCGACCUGCACGAAUGGCGUAAUGAUGGCCAGGCUGUCUCCACCCGAGACUCAGUGAAAUUGAACUCGCUGUGAAGAUGCAGUGUACCCGCGGCAAGACGGAAAGACCCCGUGAACCUUUACUAUAGCUUGACACUGAACAUUGAGCCUUGAUGUGUAGGAUAGGUGGGAGGCUUUGAAGUGUGGACGCCAGUCUGCAUGGAGCCGACCUUGAAAUACCACCCUUUAAUGUUUGAUGUUCUAACGUUGACCCGUGAUCCGGGUUGCGGACAGUGUCUGGUGGGUAGUUUGACUGGGGCGGUCUCCUCCUAAAGAGUAACGGAGGAGCACGAAGGUUGGCUAAUCCUGGUCGGACAUCAGGAGGUUAGUGCAAUGGCAUAAGCCAGCUUGACUGCGAGCGUGACGGCGCGAGCAGGUGCGAAAGCAGGUCAUAGUGAUCCGGUGGUUCUGAAUGGAAGGGCCAUCGCUCAACGGAUAAAAGGUACUCCGGGGAUAACAGGCUGAUACCGCCCAAGAGUUCAUAUCGACGGCGGUGUUUGGCACCUCGAUGUCGGCUCAUCACAUCCUGGGGCUGAAGUAGGUCCCAAGGGUAUGGCUGUUCGCCAUUUAAAGUGGUACGCGAGCUGGGUUUAGAACGUCGUGAGACAGUUCGGUCCCUAUCUGCCGUGGGCGCUGGAGAACUGAGGGGGGCUGCUCCUAGUACGAGAGGACCGGAGUGGACGCAUCACUGGUGUUCGGGUUGUCAUGCCAAUGGCACUGCCCGGUAGCUAAAUGCGGAAGAGAUAAGUGCUGAAAGCAUCUAAGCACGAAACUUGCCCCGAGAUGAGUUCUCCCUGACUCCUUGAGAGUCCUGAAGGAACGUUGAAGACGACGACGUUGAUAGGCCGGGUGUGUAAGCGCAGCGAUGCGUUGAGCUAACCGGUACUAAUGAACCGUGAGGCUUAACC